UAAUACGGAGGGUGCAAGCGUUAUCCGGAUUUAUUGGGUUUAAAGGGUCCGUAGGCGGGCUUGUAAGUCAGUGGUGAAAUCCGGCAGCUCAACUGUCGAACUGCCAUUGAUACUGCAAGUCUUGAGUAAAUUAGAAGUGGCUGGAAUAAGUAGUGUAGCGGUGAAAUGCAUAGAUAUUACUUAGAACACCAAUUGCGAAGGCAGGUCACUAUGUUUUAACUGACGCUGAUGGACGAAAGCGUGGGUAGCGAACAGGAUUAGAUACCCUGGUAGUCCACGCCGUAAACGAUGAUUACUCGUUUUUGGGCUUUAUAGUUCAGAGACUAAGCGAAAGUGAUAAGUAAUCCACCUGGGGAGUACGUUCGCAAGAAUGAAACUCAAAGGAAUUGACGGGGGCCCGCACAAGCGGUGGUGCAUGUGGUUUAAUUCGAUGAUACGCGAGGAACCUUACCAAGGCUUAAAUGGGAAUUGACAGGCUUAGAAAUAGGC
rnacentral:rRNA from 1 species